rnacentral:misc_RNA from 1 species
AGCAUUAGUGUAUAGUACGGAGGCAUGCGGAACUGGUACUUGAGGGCUAUAGACCAGAUUUUGCCAAGAACCAUACUGAACUUUACAUCAGGAAUUCCAGCUUUAAAUUCUACUUCUCCUAAGGCAUAUUCCAAAUCCAAAGUAACACGACGCUUAUUAGUCCCUGGCCUCACGACAUCCAUUUCAGCAAGAGCUUCAACAAGGGAAGCCCAUUCCCCGUUU